GACGGUACUUGAGGAGGAAGCCCCGGCUAACUACGUGCCAGCAGCCGCGGUAAUACGUAGGGGGCUAGCGUUAUCCGGAUUUACUGGGCGUAAAGGGUGCGUAGGCGGUCUUUCAAGGCAGGAGUGAAAGGCUACGGCUCAACCGUAGUAAGCUCUUGAAACUGGGAGACUUGAGUGCAGGAGAGGAGAGUGGAAUUCCUAGUGUAGCGGUGAAAUGCGUAGAUAUUAGGAGGAACACCAGUUGC
rnacentral:rRNA from 1 species